UACGUAGGGGGCAAGCGUUGUCCGGAUUUAUUGGGCGUAAAGAGCGUGUAGGCGGCCAGGUAGGUCCGUUGUGAAAACUCGAGGCUCAACCUCGAGACGCCGAUGGAAACCAUCUGGCUAGAGUCCGGAAGAGGAGAGUGGAAUUCCUGGUGUAGCGGUGAAAUGCGUAGAUAUUGGGAGGAAUACCGGUGGCGAAGGCGGCUCCCUGGACCGGUACUGACGCUGAGGCGCGAAAGCGUGGGUAGCAAACAGG
rnacentral:rRNA from 1 species